CUCCUACGGGAGGCAGCAGUCGGGAAUUUUCCACAAUGGGCGAAAGCCUGAUGGAGCAACGCCGCGUGUGUGAUGAAGGUCUUCGGAUCGUAAAGCACUUUCGACCGGGACGAAAAACCUCUGGCUAACAUCCAGGGGCCUGACGGUACCAGGAGAAUAAGCCCCGGCUAACUUCGUGCCAGCGCCGCGGUAA
rnacentral:rRNA from 1 species